rnacentral:lncRNA from 1 species
UCCCUCAGGUUGUGGCAGGAGGACACAUAUCUGGCUGUCCCUCAGGUUAUGGCAGGCGGACACAUAUCUGACUGUCCCUCAGGUUGAGGCAGGAGGACACAUAUCUGGCUGUCCCUCAGGUUGUGGCAGGGGGACACAUAUCUGUCUGUCCCUCAGGUUGAGACAGGACGACACAUAUCUGGUUGUCCCUCAGGUUGUUGCAGGACACAUAUCUGUCUGUCCCUCAGGUUGUGGCAGGAGGACACAUAUCUGGCUGUCCCUCAGGUUGUGGCAGGAGGACACAUAUCUGGCUGUCCCUCAGGUUGAGGCAGGAGGACACAUAUCUGGAUGUCCCUCAGGUUGAGGCAGGAGGACACAUAUCUGGCUGUCCCUCAGGUUGUGGCAGGAGGACACAUAUCUGGCUGUCCCUCAGUUUAUGGCAGGCGGACACAUAUCUGAC